ACAUGCUGGUUGCCUUGUGUCGGACUACUAGAAGGGCAGUCCUUACUGCCAGCCUUCAGAUUCUUGAAACGAUCCAGGCAAUUCGAAUGCCUAUAACUUGUGUCGCAAAUGUAUGAUCGGCAACCCUUAUCAUGAGAGGUACAAAGGAGGAGAACAGCAUUGUGUGGAUGCUCCAUGCAAUUCGAAUGCCUAUAACUUGUGUCGCAAAUGUAUGAUCGGCAACCCUUAUCAUGAGAGGUACAAAGGAGGAGAACGGCAUUGUGUGGAUGCUCCAUGCAGAUGGGGCAUGAAGCUUCAUUCAAUUCUUUGUAGUCAACAUGCAUAUCAGUAUCAAAUGCCAUGCUCCGUUUCCUACUAGCCAUCUAAGUACACUGAAGUGUUAUUACCAACAUUCAACCCAGUAUUGCAAUGCAUUUAACAAUAUGGCAGUAGGACAUUUUUAUUCGAUGAAAGACAGUAAAAAGUUGUCAUGAGAAGGUACUAUGCGUCUCAAGUUGUAUAAAAGAUAAAGAAUUAAUAUGCGCAUAGGUAAAAGAACUC
rnacentral:lncRNA from 1 species